rnacentral:ncRNA from 2 species
AAUGUGUAGCAAAAGACAGGA